CCUGAGCUGAUGCUGCAGGCCUCCAAGAAAGGACGGACUCUGAUGAUGUUCGCCACAGUAUCAGGUGACCCAACAGAGAAAGAAACAGAACAGAUUACACAGUUAUGGCAGACCAGCUUAUUUAAUGCUAAUUACGAGAUACAGAGGUAUGUUGUGGGCAGCAAUAGAGUGAUAUUCAUGAUCAAGGAUGGCUCCAAGGCCUGGGAGAUAAAGAACUUCCUGGUCACCCAGGAACGAUGCGAGGAGGUCACCAUCGAGGGAAAGAACUACCCCGGGGCUGCCGCCAAGGACAAAGAUGCAGAUAAAUCAAAACAGAAAGAAGAGAAAAAGAAAACAGAGAAAAAAGAAGAUAACGUUGCCAGCAAAAAGCCAGAGAAAAAGUCUGCCAAAAAAUCGGAAAAUGAUAUUCGUAAAAACGAUGAGUUAUGAUCACUCAGGAGACAUAGUUCAACAAACAGACAGAGUUGGAUAGUUUUAUGGAGGCAAUUUUGUGGUGCUCAAAGGAAGAACCACCCACCACCUACCAUUACCAACAUCAGAUGGAGGCAGCAAGCAAACGUUUCUCUAACAUUAAUAUAUUAGCUAUCAGUCAAGGAAUCGGAAAGAAAGGGGGUGGAUAGGUAAAUGGAUAGGGGAGAGAGACUGAUCUGAUAUUUUGUUACAUUUAGAUUUUUUUUUUGGUCUUAAAGGCAAAAAUAUGCUCUUUUUUGAUAGAAUAUAAUAUAUUGCCAGAGACAUAAAAAAAACCCAAAUUAUUAAUUCAUUAUUUUAUUUGUCAUUAUCAGAACAAAGGGAGAACAAAAUAAGAAAGGUUUUUGAUAGGGUUAAUGCAAUAUAAUUUAACAUGAGAUGAAGUGUUUGAUGAUGUAAAACUUGACACAAGAAAUAUGCCAUAAUGUUUCAUAUUUAUACAAAUAUUUGUAUAUAUUUUAAUGAUUUCAUAUUUACAUGAAAAUACUACUCAGUAUAUGUACUUUUGAAAUUGUUUUUUUUUUCUUUUACAUAAAAUGAGUUCUGUUCUGUGUUUUCAGAUGACAGAGUCUUUAGUUACAGAACAAAUUAUUAAAAAGAUUGUAAUUGUGAGCAAAGUCAUUUUAAUAUUUGUUUCUAAGAAUAGAAACUAUGAAUUCCAAGUGGACCAAAUGUUCAUUUUUUUUUUCACUUUCAUAGAUCUACAUUUGUAAAUGUUAAAGUUACUAGGAUAAAGUGCAAUAGAUUCUGUUACAAAAAGCAAAAUUAUUUUUAAAAAUCCCCAAAGCAAAAAAAAAAACCCCCCAAAAAUCAAUAAAAAUCUCUGAAAGAAUUUGUAAUUUGUUGCAGAUUUGAAUUUCCUGGGGCUUGAGAGAAACAACCUAGAUUUGAAUUAACCUCUUGCAAUGUUGAUUGUUAAUUUUUGAUGUGUGAAGUUAUAUUAUUAAUUAACACUUCCGUUACAAUGUUAUGUCCCAUUUCCUUAAUCUCGAUAACAGUACUCAUGACUGCUGUAGACACUGCAUUAUACAUUUUAAAAUAUCACAAAAUUUUUACGAAGUGGGUUUUCUAUAAAUGUUUAUAAUGAAUAAAAUACUG
rnacentral:misc_RNA from 1 species